rnacentral:lncRNA from 1 species
UCUUGAUGACCUUGCUAAGGGUGACGCGUGGAAAGUAGUCAACCUUUGUGCACCCUCGAAACAUUUUACCGGGCGGCUACACUUUGGAGAGGCCGAAGACGAGGAAGAGGAUGUUGCGUAUCAAGAGCCCAACGCAAUAGGUAUUCCUAACUCCUCUACCGUUCGCCUUAAUAAUUUUAAAGCGGGUCGUUCGGUGCGAAUUCGUGAUGAAGAGCCAAGGCUUAUUGAUGUUGAUCCAAAUCAAGAAACAGACGAAGACUCUGGCGAUGAGGAAAGACAUAUAUUACCAGAAAUUAAUUCUGACACCGAAGAAGACUCAUCGGAUGAUUCCGAUUACGAGCCUUAGUUUUAAUUUAGAGGAUGUAAUCCAUUAAUUUGUAUAACUAAAGACCUUUUCCUUUAUAGUUUACAUAUGUUGAAUUCAUAUUUCAGUUAUUCUAUAUGAAUUUUGGUGAUACAUGAUGAACAUGAAGUUAGUAUGGUUUACUAAUAUCGUCUGUUUUUUUAAUGUAUUUUUUCCUUAAGCCGACGAAAUACACCAUAAUUCGUCGGCUAAAACCAUCUUAGUUGACGAAAUAUAGUAUAUUUCGUCGGCUAAAACCAUCUUAGCCGACGAAUUAUAGUGUAUUUCGUCGGCUAAUAAAGUUUUAGCCGACGAAUAACCUAAUAUUUCGUCGGCUUUAAUUAUUUUUUAAUUUUUUAAUUACAUACUAUAGCCGACGAAUACGUUAGGGUAUUCGUCGGCUAAACUCUAAAAUUUUCUAUUACCUACUAUAGCCCUAUCUUCGGUUGUUAUUUUCCGUAAAAUUUUUUAGACGACUUCUUGCGUCUCAUCGGUUUGAAACUAUUUUCAGUUGGAGGUCCGGCCAAAAUACGUAAUUUAGACGGACGAACGACCUUUUCCAUGCGUUUAGGGGUUUGACUUACGAGAUUGACCGUCCGGAUCGAGCCCCUAUUCUUGUCGGAUCAAGUUGAAUUUUUUCCCAUACAUGUAUUUUGUCAUGAUGGUCAGAUCUGACGGUCGGAUUUAUUUUUCUCAAGUUUGAUCAUCACAAUCACAACAUGCAUACUAAUGUUGUAUAACUUGUUUACCAAGUGUUAUGUAAAUGUUCUG